CCUACGGGCGGCAGCAGUGAGGAAUAUUGGUCAAUGGACGAGAGUCUGAACCAGCCAAGUAGCGUGAAGGAUGACUGCCCUAUGGGUUGUAAACUUCUUUUAUAUUGGAAUAAAAUGUUCCACGUGUGGGAUUUUGUAUGUACCAUAUGAAUAAGGAUCGGCUAACUCCGUGCCAGCAGCCGCGGUAAUACGGAGGAUCCGAGCGUUAUCCGGAUUUAUUGGGUUUAAAGGGAGCGUAGGUGGAUUGUUAAGUCAGUUGUGAAAGUUUGCGGCUCAACCGUAAAAUUGCAGUUGAAACUGGCAGUCUUGAGUCCGCGGAAAGCAGGCGGAAUUCGUCGUGUAGCGGUGAAAUGCUUAGAUAUGACGAAGAACCCCGAUUGCGAAGGCAGCUUGCUGCAGCGGAACUGACGCUGAUGCUCGAAAGCGCGGGUAUCGAACAGGAUUAGAUACCCCAGUAGUC
rnacentral:rRNA from 1 species